rnacentral:misc_RNA from 1 species
AACACUGUUAACCUGCGGUACCUGCGGAGGGAUCAUUAUUGAAUGAACUUGGUCAAGCUGUUGCUGGUCCUUCGGGACAUGUGCACGCUUGCCACCAAUUUUAACCACCUGUGCACUUUUUGUAGACUUGGAAACGUUUCUCGAGGCAACUCGGAUUGAGAACUGCUGGCGCAAGUCGGCUUUUCUUAUGUUUUCUCAGUCUAUGUUUUCAUAUACACCUAAUGUAUGUAUCAGAAUGUA